AAACCAUGGUGAAGACACUGUAUUAACAAAUUAUUGAACCAUUCCCAUGCCUCAGAAAAUGACUCAUUUUCUUGUUGAUUGAAUUGCCUUAUUUUAUCCCUUAGUGC
rfam:Prunus persica cultivar Lovell chromosome G7, whole genome shotgun sequence.